rnacentral:rRNA from 1 species
CGGCCACAUUGGGACUGAGACACGGCCCAGACUCCUACGGGAGGCAGCAGUGGGGGAUAUUGCACAAUGGGGGAAACCCUGAUGCAGCGACGCCGCGUGGAGGAAGAAGGUUUUCGGAUUGUAAACUCCUGUCGUUAGGGACGAUAAUGACGGUACCUAACAAGAAAGCACCGGCUAACUACGUGCCAGCAGCCGCGGUAAAACGUAGGGUGCAAGCGUUGUCCGGAAUUACUGGGUGUAAAGGGAGCGCAGGCGGGAAGACAAGUUGGAAGUGAAAACCAUGGGCUCAACCCAUGAAUUGCUUUCAAAACUGUUUUUCUUGAGUAGUGCAGAGGUAGAUGGAAUUCCCGGUGUAGCGGUGGAAUGCGUAGAUAUCGGGAGGAACACCAGUGGCGAAGGCGGUCUACUGGGCACCAACUGACGCUGAGGCUCGAAAGCAUGGGUAGCAAACAGGAUUAGAUACCCUGGUAGUCCAUGCCGUAAACGAUGAUUACUAGGUGUUGGGGGAUUGACCCCCUCAGUGCCGCAGUUAACACAAUAAGUAAUCCACCUGGGGAGUACGACCGCAAGGUUGAAACUCAAAGGAAUUGACGGGGGCCCGCACAAGCAGUGGAGUAUGUGGUUUAAUUCGAAGCAACGCGAAGAACCUUACCAGGUCUUGACAUCCAACUAACGAAGUAGAGAUACAUUAGGUGCCCUUCGGGGAAAGUUGAGACAGGUGGUGCAUGGUUGUCGUCAGCUCGUGUCGUGAGAUGUUGGGUUAAGUCCCGCAACGAGCGCAACCC